rnacentral:rRNA from 1 species
GAUACCUACGGGACGCAGCAGUGGGGGAUAUUGCACAAUGGGGGGAACCCUGAUGCAGCGACGCCGCGUGAGGGAAGACGGCCUUCGGGUUGUAAACCUCUGUCGCAGGGGACGAAGGAGAUGACGGUACCCUGUGAGGAAGCCACGGCUAACUACGUGCCAGCAGCCGCGGUAAUACGUAGGUGGCGAGCGUUGUCCGGAAUCACUGGGCGUAAAGGGCGCGUAGGCGGUAAUAUAAGUCAGAUGUGAAAGGUGGGGGCUCAACCCCUAGAGUGCAACUGAUACUGUAUAACUUGAGUGUGAGG